rnacentral:rRNA from 1 species
GACGAACGCUGGCGGCGUGCUUAACACAUGCAAGUCGAGCGAUGAAGUUCCUUCGGGAAUGGAUUAGCGGCGGACGGGUGAGUAACACGUGGGUAACCUGCCUCAUAGAGGGGAAUAGCCUUCCGAAAGGAAGAUUAAUACCGCAUAAGAUUGUAGUAUCGCAUGAUAUAGCAAUUAAAGGAGCAAUCCGCUAUGAGAUGGACCCGCGUCGCAUUAGCUAGUUGGUGAGGUGACGGCUCACCAAGGCGACGAUGCGUAGCCGACCUGAGAGGGUGAUCGGCCACAUUGGGACUGAGACACGGCCCAGACUCCUACGGGAGGCAGCAGUGGGGAAUAUUGCACAAUGGGGGAAACCCUGAUGCAGCAACGCCGCGUGAGUGAUGACGGUCUUUGGAUUGUAAAACUCUGUCUUCAGGGACGAUAAUGACGGUACCUGAGGAGGAAGCCACGGCUAACUACGUGCCAGCAGCCGCGGUAA